UUCCCAAAACACAAGCAAUCAAAACAAAAAACGGCGAGUUUUUCUGUUUGUAUGCAAAAAUGAAAACAUUGCUGUAAAUGAAGUAACCAUAGAAAUGCUUUGUAUUAGUUGGUUUUAAAAAAGUAAUGUGUCAAUUUCAUGAAUUGCAUUUUUCUUUUGUUCGUUUUGUCGAUUUUUUUAAGAUUGAAAAUCUUGAAAAAUUGUUAAGUCGUACGAAAAUUAGAACACCAGAAAAUUAUCUCCCUUGCCUUGAAGAGCAUUUCAACCAAUGAAAUAAUUGAAAAUUUUCACUUCAUGCACUUUCUACCAAUGAAAAAAGAGAGGAAGUGCAAAGUCCGAAGACUGUAAAACACUUCAACUCUGUAUACCGUCAAGGAAGACGGUAAUCAAUGGACAAGUAUGGAGGCGAAAGCCAUUUCGUCGGAUUCCCUAAUCUAUAUAGAUAAGAAAUAUCCAGAGGAAUCCCCAACAUUCCAAUAGUAUUCAACCACCUGAACCAGCUCAUUCCAGACCACAGCGUGUAAGCCUUCUGUCUAGACUUUGAGAAAGGAGUGUGGGGUGCCAUUAAGUCCAUCUACCCAGACUCAGACAUCAAGGAUUGCGCAUUUCACUGGGGCCAGGCUGUCAUGCGGCGUGUAGCCAAGUUGGGGAGGAAGACAGCUUAUGACAACGACGGGGCCUUGCAUGUCUUCAUCCGGAAAGUGUUGGCUCUGCCGUACCUUCCAGCAGCACACAUUAGACCAACCUUUCAAAAACUGCUGCAGGAGACCACCAACUCCCAGCCCUUAUGGCGCCUGACGACCUACGUAAACAGAACUUGGAUGUUAAGUAAUGUGUUUGCUGUGCACCAGUGGUGCGUCUUCAAACAGACCGUCCGUACAAAUAAUGAAAU